rnacentral:rRNA from 1 species
GACGAACGCUGGCGGCGUGCUUAACACAUGCAAGUCGAACGGAGUGGCGAACGGGUGAGUAACACGUGGGUGAUAUGCCUUGCACGUCGGGGGAAGCUUGGGAAACUGGGUCUAAUACCGGAUAGUGCAAGAUGAGCUCGCAGCCUAUCAGCUGGUCGGUGGGGUAAUGGCCUACCAAGGCGGAGACGGGUAGCCGGCCUGAGAGGGUGUACGGCCACAUUGGGACUGAGCUCCGGCCCAGACUCCUACGGGAGGCAGUGGUGGUGAAUAGUGCACAAUGGGCGGAAGCCUUAUGCAGCGACGCCGCGUGGGGGAUGAAGGCCUUCGGGUUGUAACCUCCUUUCGACAGGGACGCGGUACCUGUAUAAGAAGCACCGGCUAACUACGUGCCAGCAGCGGCGGUAAUAC